rnacentral:rRNA from 1 species
UAUUGGUCAAUGGGCGAGAGCCUGAACCAGCCAAGUAGCGUGAAGGAUGAAGGCUCUAUGUUUCGUAAACUUCUUUUAUAUGGGAAUAAAGUUUUCCACGUGUGGAAUUUUGUAUGUACCAUAUGAAUAAGGAUCGGCUAACUCCGUGCCAGCAGCCGCGGUAAUACGGAGGAUCCGAGCGUUAUCCGGAUUUAUUGGGUUUAAAGGGAGCGUAGGUGGAUUGUUAAGUCAGUUGUGAAAGUUUGCGGCUCAACCGUAAAAAUGCAGUUGAAACUGGCAGUCUUGAGUACAGUAGAGGUGGGCGGAAUUCGUGGUGUAGCGGUGAAAUGCUUAGAUAUCACGAAGAACUCCGAUUGCGAAGGCAGCUCACUAGACUGUUACUGACACUGAUGCUCGAAAGUGUGGGUAUCAAACAGG